AAUGGUUGAUACUAGUAAUAACACAAAAGAGAUAAAAAAAAUAAAACAGGAAAAAGUAAGUAAACAAAACUAACGUUCAUCACAAAUCAAACUAAAUUAGGCUUGACUCUCUAGCUGAAACAUAUGUCUCCGCAGAUUCGUCACUUAUCGUGACAAAAAAAAUAAACUAGAGCGUUUGCACGCUCGAGAUAAUAACAAAGUUGCCACUGAACUUUAUUUAUUCC
rnacentral:lncRNA from 1 species